CCUGCCUCGACCUUUAGGACUGGUGAGAUAUUUGAAGCUCUACGCUUGUGUGCACUAAAAUGGAGAGCAUCUCCUUUUUUUAAUGGUGAUGCGCCGAGAAUGUGGCCAAGGGGAUCCUGUGGUGCGGGGUGAUGACCGUGGACAGGCUCUUCUGGGGGAAUGAGGUGCUCCGGAAGAGGAUACAACCCGGCGAUACUGAGGCUGUGGUCAGCCUAGAGAUGCGCAUGCGUAUCAAAAGAUGACGAGCGUGGCAAUCUCGGCGGGCUCGCUAAAGUCAGGGGAAGGAGAGAAACAAUGGGGAAGGGAGCAUAACAUGGAUGUGGGGCAGGAGAGGCCGUGGUCGGAGCGGCAUUGCGUGGGCAUAUUGGGUAUUAUUUGAGCUGAUACUCCAUUUUCUUACAAGAGAUGUGGUCCCGUCGAUGUUGGCUGUCGAAUUUGUGCUGCAGUCCAUGCCCACCACAUCCGAGUGUUCGCCCCUUCGUCAUCCAACACGAACAGCAGAACAGAGUAGCAGUUGUGAUUUGCCAGGUUGGAGAACUGACGCAGCUUGCUGCCACAGAGUGCUCGCCCUUCUUCUGUGCCAUAAAGCCCCUCGGUCGAAACUUGCAAAUCAAAAUUGCCGACCCUGUCAAUCUCGCUGGAACGACGUCUAGCUCGUUGUGCUCCACUCACUGAGCAGCCUGGUUGGGUGGUGACGUUUCCGAGUGGCCAAGCAAGAGC